rnacentral:rRNA from 1 species
GACGAACGCUGGCGGCGUGCCUAAUACAUGCAAGUCGAACGCAGUGGGGAAGGGAGAGUAACCCGUGGGUAAACUGCCGAUCAGAGGGGAUAACACUUGGAAACAGGUGAUAAACCGAUACUGAUGGAUGGACGCGCGGUGCAUUAGCUAGUUGGUGAGGUAACGGCGCACAAAGGCCACGAUCCAUAGCCGGCCGGGGAGGGUGAUCGGCCCACCUGGGACGGAGCCACGGCCCAGACUCCUACGGGAGGAAGCAGUAGGGAAUCUUCGGCAAUGGACGAAAGUCUGACAGAGCAACGCGGCGUGAGUGAAGAAGGUUUUCGGUUCGUAAACCUCGUUUGUUCGGGAAGCGGUAUCUAACCAGAAAGCCACGGCUAACUACGUGCCAGCAGCCGCGGUAAUUC